CAGCCUGGCCCUAAGUCUACCUUUCUAAUCUCCCUUUCUCCCUCUUAACCAGGUCCCCGGAUCCUUCAUUGAUCUAGCAGCAGUCAUGAAGAAGCCUUUCUCACCCAGCCAGCUCCCCCCAGGCAUAAGCGCAUUGGGCGUGCAGAAAGGAUUUACACCCUGGCCAAGGUCCUGGCCCUGCUCAGGGCAGGACCCUUCCCGUCUGCCAGCCGACCACCAGGAAGAUGCCACGUGAGUCAGACAGCGCGGCCCGAAAGGCCCGGGUCGGGAUUCCCACCCCGUAGUGCUGGCGGUAGAGAGAAGACUGCUGCCUCAUUAUGGGCUGCUGAAUCCCCUUCCCCAGCAGAGACCCUCACCCAGACAAGAAGAGCCUCCCAACUGAGACGCUCCCCAGCACCCAGCCCCCCUUCUCUCCCAUGUUUCACCAACGACCCAGCCUCUGCUUUCUCCCCCCCCAAAAAAAAGAAAGCCAUCACCUCCUGGAAGCCUUCCAUGAUGAGAGAUCCCCUCCCCCCCACUCCCCCCUCCCUUGACCCUGGCUUUUCCGCCCCCCCUCCCUCCAGCCCCCCUCCCACCCUCCCUCGUGUCAUGUCCCUCGGUUCUGGCCCCUGAAGCCCUUACAGAUUCCAAUUGCACUAACUAGUUCGUUUGCACUGAUGGGCGCGUGGUCCCCGCGAGUGUGCGAGUGCGUGUGCGUGUGCGUGUGUGUGUCGGUCCCGUCUCGGCCGGCCGGCUCCCCCAGAGCUCAGGCCAGUCCUCCACUUGCACCUCUGACAGUUUCUCCCCUGUUCCCCUCCCCCAGAGCCCCCGCCAGGGCUGGCUCUGCACACACUCAAAAUAAACACUGUUGACAGACA